rnacentral:rRNA from 1 species
GACAGAGGGUGCAAACGUUGUUCGGAAUUACUGGGCGUAAAGCGCGUGUAGGCGGUUCGGAAAGUCGGGUGUGAAAGCCCUGGGCUCAACCCAGGAAGUGCACUCGAAACUCCCGAACUAGAGUUCUGGAGAGGAAGGCGGAAUUCUCGGUGUAGAGGUGAAAUUCGUAGAUAUCGAGAGGAACAUCGGUGGCGAAGGCGGCCGUUCUGGACGAGCAAGUCGACGCUGAGACGCGAAAGCGUGGGGAGCAAACAGG